GAGACAGGUUCACCCUAGCAAGGGUUAAGCUGCUCUGCCGUACAGAUUUUUGCCAAUCCUUAUAAAGCCUAAAACCGCAAAUUAGCAUACGUACUUACACAUACAGUAUAA